UGCGCAGGCGGGCCUGUAAGUCAGAGGUGAAAUCCCAUAGCUUAACUGUGGAACUGCCUUUGAUACUGCAGGUCUUGAGUCCUGGAGGGGUCACCGGAAUUCGUGGUGUAGCGGUGAAAUGCGUAGAUAUCACGAGGAACGCCGGAGGUGUAGACGGGUGACUGGACAGGUACUGACGCUGAGGCACGAAAGCGUGGGGAGCAAACAGGAUUAGAUACCCUGGUAGUCC
rnacentral:rRNA from 1 species